rnacentral:misc_RNA from 1 species
GUACUGUAAGAAGAAAUACUUAUUUAUUUGAUUUUCAAUUAGAAAAACUAAUUGUUUGGAGCAGCUGUUUUAUUAGUUUUUUAGGGGUUAUAUUUUUUUAUUGUUAUCUAAAUAAGAAAUUAACAUUAAAUGUUUAUAAGGA